rnacentral:lncRNA from 1 species
AUGAGGGAGGAGGGCCUCCUCCACCAGUGGUGGCGCGCACUUCCCGAGGUGGCAGUGCCUCGAUCGGUGCACUGCACGCUAGUUGCAUGCGCACAGGUCCCUGCCACUCUUGCAGGACCUUGGCGCGCUGGGCAUUGUACACGCAGGCCUACUAUGCACAAGCCCAGGCACACAGGGCCUUUCCGCGCUAGCCUAGUGCGCGGACGGCGUACGCACAGUGUGCAAUGCUUAUCCAUGAGCG